rnacentral:ribozyme from 12 species
CACACACACACACACACAAAAAAAAAAAAAAAAAAAAAAAAAAAAAAAAAAAAAAAAAAAAUCUUCAUCUUCCUUUUCUUUACAU